GUAGAUCAACCAGGAAUGAUAUUGUACGAGUUAUGCGAUUUGUUUGGAAUGUACAUGAUAGAUGAAACAAGUUAUGGACCAAAUCAUGUUGCUCUUGCUGAAAACUUUGACUGAGGAAUGUAUGCUUGCCUAAUUUGGUUGUUUGGAGGAGGGGAGAGUGAGUUUUCUGUUGGUAUAAGGCGAGUCUUGGUUCAACAGGAAUAAGACAGUUUGACUUAUAAGAAGUUAACCCAAAGUAGAAGUUGAAGAAUAUCAUGUUGGGGCAUCAUGAGGCAAAGGUAAAGUAUUAAUAUUAAAGCUCCAACAUAAUGAUGAUGCUGCUGCUCAAGUCUAUGGUCGAACUACAUAACCUGUGGAAAAGCAUAUGAAUAACUCUAUAAGUGUGUUUGUAUCUCACAACUUAAAUUAUCAUUUUCUCUAUAAUAUUUAUCUUCAUCUUACUGUAUAAAUGACAUUGUUAAUAAUAAACUUGGAAUAAAACGCUUAUGACAUUGUU
rnacentral:lncRNA from 1 species